UGAAAUGCUAUCUUAAUCAGUUGUGACGAG
rnacentral:piRNA from 1 species